ACGCUGGCGGCGUGCCUAACACAUGCAAGUCGGAUGUGCCCCGUCUUCGGAUUGGGGUGCAUGGCAGACGGGUGAGUAACGCGUGGGGAAUCUACCUCUUUGUGGGGAAUAACGCUCCGAAAGGAGUGGUAAUACCGCAUGAGACCAGUGGCUGGGAUGCUGCUGGUGAAACCUGGGGACCGUAAGGCCUGGGGCAAGGAGAGGAUCCUGCGUCUGAUUAGCUAGUUGGCGGGGUAAUGGCCCACCAAGGCGACGAUCAGUAGCCGGCCUGAGAGGGUGAUCGGCCACACUGGAACUGAGACACGGUCCAGACUCCUACGGGAGGCAGCAGUGGGGAAUUUUGCGCAAUGGACGAAAGUCUGACGCAGCAACGCCGCGUGGGUGAUGAAGGUCUUCGGACUGUAAAACCCUGUCGUCAGGGACGAAGGUGCGCACGUUAAUAGCGUGUGUAUUUGACGGUACCUGGAGAGGAAGCCCCGGCUAACUCUGUGCCAGCAGCCGCGGUAAUACAGAGGGGGCAAGCGUUAUUCGGAAUUAUUGGGCGUAAAGGGCGCGUAGGCGGUUUUUUAAGUCAGAUGUGUAAUCCCCGAGCUUAACUUGGGAACUGCAUCUGAGACUGGAAGGCUAGAGUACUGGAGAGGGUGGUGGAAUUCCUCGUGUAGCGGUGAAAUGCGUAGAGAUGAGGAGGAACACCAGUGGCGAAGGCGGUCACCUGGACAGUAACUGACGCUGAGGCGCGAAAGUGUGGGUAGCAAACAGGAUUAGAUACCCUGGUAGUCCACGCUGUAAACGAUGAACACUUGGUGUGGAGGGAGUUGACCCCUUCCGU
rnacentral:rRNA from 1 species